rnacentral:rRNA from 1 species
UGGGGAAUUUUGGACAAUGGGGGCAACCCUGAUCCAGCCAUGCCGCGUGAGUGAAGAAGGCCUUCGGGUUGUAAAGCUCUUUCGGCCAGGAAGAAAUCGUAUCAGCUAAUACCUGGUGCGGAUGACGGUACCGGCAUAAGAAGCACCGGCUAACUACGUGCCAGCAGCCGCGGUAAUACGUAGGGUGCGAGCGUUAAUCGGAAUUACUGGGCGUAAAGCGUGCGCAGGCGGUUUUGUAAGACAGGCGUGAAAUCCCCGGGCUCAACCUGGGAACUGCGUUUGUGACUGCAAGGCUAGAGUACGGCAGAGGGGGGUGGAAUUCCACGUGUAGCAGUGAAAUGCGUAGAGAUGUGGAGGAACACCAAUGGCGAAGGCAGCCCCCUGGGUCGAUACUGACGCUCAUGCACGGAAGCGUGGGUAGCAAACAG